UGACCUCGGAUCAGGUAGGAAUACCCGCUGAACUUAAGCAUAUCAAUAAGCGGAGAAA
rnacentral:rRNA from 1 species